GGGGCCAUGGCUCAGUGGUAGGGCAUCUGCCUUGCAAGCAGAAGCUUCCAGGUUCAAUCCCAAGAGACUCCA